rnacentral:rRNA from 1 species
GACGAACGCUGGCGGCGUGCCUAAUACAUGCAAGUAGAACGCUGAAGGAGGAGCUUGCUUCUCUGGAUGAGUUGCGAACGGGUGAGUAACGCGUAGGUAACCUGCCUGGUAGCGGGGGAUAACUAUUGGAAACGAUAGCUAAUACCGCAUAAGAGUAGAUGUCGCAUGACAUUUGCUUAAAAGUUGCAAUUGCAUCACUACCAGAUGGACCUGCGUUGUAUUAGCUAGUUGGUGAGGUAACGGCUCACCAAGGCAACGAUACAUAGCCGACCUGAGAGGGUGAUCGGCCACACUGGGACUGAGACACGGCCCAGACUCCUACGGGAGGCAGCAGUAGGGAAUCUUCGGCAAUGGACGGAAGUCUGACCGAGCAACGCCGCGUGAGUGAAGAAGGGUUUCGGAUCGUAAAGCUCUGUUGUAAGAGAAGAACGAGUGUGAGAGUGGAAAGUUCACACUGUGACGGUAUCUUACCAGAAAGGGACGGCUAACUACGUG